ensembl:misc_RNA
UGCGCAGCUUCCUGUACAUCUGCCUGCAUGUGUGGGGUCAAUCCAUGUGGGCACUGAGCCUUUUGUCUGCGUCUUAGACAACUGAGAG